rnacentral:rRNA from 1 species
AUUGAACGCUGGCGGCAGGCCUAACACAUGCAAGUCGAGCGGAUGAAGGGAGCUUGCUCCUGGAUUCAGCGGCGGACGGGUGAGUAAUGCCUAGGAAUCUGCCUGGUAGUGGGGGAUAACGUCCGGAAACGGGCGCUAAUACCGCAUACGUCCUGAGGGAGAAAGUGGGGGAUCUUCGGACCUCACGCUAUCAGAUGAGCCUAGGUCGGAUUAGCUAGUUGGUGGGGUAAAGGCCUACCAAGGCGACGAUCCGUAACUGGUCUGAGAGGAUGAUCAGUCACACUGGAACUGAGACACGGUCCAGACUCCUACGGGAGGCAGCAGUGGGGAAUAUUGGACAAAGGGCGAAAGCCUGAUCCAGCCAUGCCGCGUGUGUGAAGAAGGUCUUCUGAUUGUAAAGCACUUUAAGUUGGGAGGAAGGGCAGUAAGUUAAUACCUUGCUGUUUUGACGUUACCAACAGAAUAAGCACCGGCUAACUUCGUG